rnacentral:ncRNA from 2 species
CUCAAUUUAUUCGAUAUAGUCCGCACGCGAUGUAAAAGGCAUCGGGAAAUUGGUACGGUCAUGAUGAUCACAUCGUGAAAGCCAAUGCUGCCCCCGCAACGGUAUUCAUCAACAAUAAUCAGAUAUCACCACUGUGUUUUUAACAUGGGAAGGUGCUGAAUAAUAUUCUAAAGAUGAGAGCCCGGAGACCGGCCUUUGCACCAUUUUCACU